GUGGAGGAGGAGUGCAGUGUGAGAGUGGAGGAGGAGCGCAGUGUGAGAGUGGAGGAGGUGUGCAGUGUGAGAGUGGAGGUGGAGUGCAGUGUGAGAGUGGAGGUGGAGUGCAGUGUGAGAGUGGAGGAGGAGUGCAGUGUGAGAGUGGAGGAGGAGUGCAGUGUGAGAGUGGAGGUGGAGUGCAGUGUGAGAGUGGAGGAGGAGUGCAGUGUGAGAGUGGAGGUGGUCUCACUUGCUACCAGCUCUUUCAAGCUGGCAUGCUAGAGCACUUCCUAGGCUCACACCAGUGUCAACUCUUGACUCCCUAACACUGGCAUUUUCUACCAUCCCUUGGAAAAGGAGCUGGACAGCUUUUAGCACUCAGCACAUCUGAUACCCUCCUGGUGCUAGCAUACUAAGUAACUCUGCCUUCAACAAAGGCAGCAUCCUCCAGGUGCUGGAAGACUUUUUUAUCCAGGUCAUAGGGCUAAGUUGGGUGUCCCUUGUUUUACCUGUCAUUCUUCCCCAAGGCCUCUCCUUCUGUUAGUUCUCAAAGCUAGCACUUCUUCAGUGUGUACUUGUAUACAGUAUACAGAGUAACCUAUUUACUUGAAGACUCAUCCUGCAGCACAGAGUGAGGUACCUGACUCUGCCCCCAUUUAGGUGGCGAGGAAAUUAUUUGCUCAAAGAGCACCCUCUAGCACCAAGAGGCCAAGGAAACCUAGGUAGGACCUUUUUGUUCUUUGGCUUUCUCAUGGUUCUUUUUUUCCAGUGCUGGGUCAAACCCAGGGCUGUGUGAGUGCUAGCUAGGCAAGCACUGUGUCCAC
rnacentral:lncRNA from 1 species